ensembl:lncRNA
AGAGUUGCAAACUAGAUUUCUAGGGUUCACAACCAUAGAGCUGACUAAGAACACCGAGUACAAAGCAAAGGGGAGCGGACUGGAGGGUGAAUGGAUGUUUCCUACGCAUAAGUGGAAUCAAUCUUGGAAACAGGUGAAGAGUCCAGCCCAGUUGGAGCUUUCUGAGGCAAAACAGUUUCAUUGGGAUAUUCUAUUUGAAAGAGAGAACGUUUGUAAGGUUGAUAUAGAAACGUAUUCUCUUCCUGUUUGGGCUGGCACCUGGAAGAUCAUGAACUUUCCUUUCAGGCAGGAGAAAAAGGACUGGGAUCAUCUCUGGCCUGAUUACCAACAAAAACUAAGCAACAACUUUGAUCAAGUACAACAACUAGAGGAGGAGGAUGAACCCUUUGACUGGGAGGAUUCAUGGAAAAUGUCUGGAGCAGAAUUUGAAACAGAAGAGUUCACAGAUGAUGAGACGCAAAGUGAGAGUUCCUUCAGUGCAGACACUGAAGUUAUGAUGACUAUAACUGAUGUGUGCGUGCCAGGAUGGAGCAAAUCCUGGCUACUUUCAGCAGCUCCUCCAGAGGAAGGUGAAGAACGCCAGAAAAGCUGGAGCACGUGCUGGGGAUACAAGCAGCAGCUCAGGUGGUGCAAAGCUUCUGUGAACUCCAAUCAUCAACACAGUGCCAUGCUGGAGAGAAAACGCAAAGCUACAAACUUCCUCUUGACAUCAGAGUUGGACGAGGGGAUGAGAGACAGCACUGAGUGGAUGGACGCCUGGAAGGCUCCAAGAGGAUGGUUUAAGGUAGAGGAGGAGGAAACAGAGGAGGAGGAGGAAGCAGAGGAAAUAUAUGACACAGGGGAGGAGGAGGAUGAAGGAGUGGAUAAUGAGGAUGGAGAUAUGGAUGAGGAAGACGAGGAUGGAAAUCUGGAUGGUGUGGAGGAGGAUGAAGGAGUUGCAGAGGAGGAAGCUUUCAACAAAAAUAAUGUAGACAAAAAACCAGAAGAGGAAGGGAAAAUAGAAAUAGUUAUAGAAACAGAAGAAAAAGACCUUAACAAGAAGUCUGAAAAUGAUGAGGAUGAUGAGGAAGAAGAUGAAGGAGUGGAUGAAAAUGAUGAGGAGGAGGAAGAGGAAGAAGAGUAUGAAGAUACUGACAACAAGAAGGAGGGAGAGGAAGAAGACAAUGAAGAGGAACAGGAUGAAGAUGGUGGAGGACGGGGAUGAAAAAAUUGAGGUAGAGAAGCAGGAAAAAGAUAACACAAAUCAAAAUGAUCAGGGUGAAGUAGAAGAGGAAGAGCAGGACAGUGAAUUAAAUGAACAUGAAAAGGAUGACAAAGUGGAAACGCUAAAUGAGGAAGGCACAGACGAAGAAGAGGAAGUGAAUGCAGAAAUAAAGGAAGAAGAGGAGGAGGAAGACAUAGAAGAUGAGGAAGAGGAGAACAAGAAUGGCAUAAAUAAAGAGAAAGAAAACCAUGAUGGUGGCAGGGAUGAAGAUGCAGAGGUAGAUGAGGAAGACGAGGAAGAUGAGGAUUAUAAUAACAAUGAGGAUGACACAAAUUUAUGUGAGAAAGAAAAAUACAAAGAGAUGGACAAGAAAGAUGAAGGUGAAGAAGAAAACGAAGAAGAAAAAGGGGGAGAAGAGGAAGAAGAAAAAGAAGAAGAAGAAGAAGAAGAGAAAGAAGAAGAAGAGGAGGAGGAAGAAAAAGAAGACAGAGAAGAUGGUGGGGAUGUAAAAAAUAAAGCAGAAGGAAAUAAGAGUAGUAGGGUUAAUGUAGAUCAGGAGGAAGAUGAAAAAGAUGAAGAUGAAGACAAAGCUGAUGAAGAUGAAGAAGAGGAUGAUGUGCAAAAGAAUGAAGGCAAUGAAGUAGAUAGUGAGGAUAAAGAAGAAGAGAAAGAAGCAGACGACGACCAGGGGAGUGAUGAGGAUGGUAAAGACAAAGAGGAGAAUGAAAAUGUUGACAUGGAGGAAAGUGGUGUAAUAUCUGAGAAAGAUGAAGAAGAAAUGAAAGAGAAUGACAAAAAAGCUGACCAUCACAAGGAUGAGGAAGAGGAGGCGGAGGAUGAAGAGGAGGAGGCUGGUGAGAAAGAAAAUGAAGCAGAGGUUAUAGUCGGGAAAAACACAGAAGAAGAAAAGAAGGUGAAGAAGUCACAGAAACAAAUGAAAUAUAAGCCCGUUGUCCCACUCCAUCUGCAGUUCCACAAACUGAACGCCUGCUUUCCCUCCUGGAAGCAAUCAUGGAUGGUGGCAGUAGCUCACAGAGGAGGUUAUGAUGGUGAGGAUGAGGAUUAUGAAGCGGGCGAGGAAUCGGAGUUGAGAGCUUGGAAGGAUUCAUGGAGGAUUUGUCGCUAUAGGAAGCCAGAUGAUGAUGACGUGGUGUGUUUCUCUAUGGAGCACCGGAGUCAGCGGUAUAUGGGACUGACGCAUGAAAAAGACGGCAUGCCAAAGAGUGAGUGGACUCUGAGCUGGAAAAUGAACAAAGAAAAAGAUGAAGAUGAAGAUGAAGAAGAAGAGGAAGAAGGAGAGGAAGAAGAAGAAGAGGAAAGUUAAAAUUUUCUGAGAGGGGAAAUUAGAAGGGCUGGAUGGUAUUUAUACCUGAUAUGAACUAAAUGUGCCAAAAGCUGGGACUGUCAUGUCUUAUUUCAGACGCUGAACAGAGAUGCAUUUAAUCCAAACGUCUGUUCUGCAUGUUCAGGUUUAGGCUACGCUACUGGAAACCUGCAAAAACAUGUUUAUUUCAACUGUUGAUGCCAUCAACAACCUCACAUGCCCA